rnacentral:rRNA from 1 species
CCUACGGGUGGCAGCAGUGGGGAAUAUUGCACAAUGGGGGAAACCCUGAUGCAGCGACGCCGCGUGAGUGAAGAAGUAAUUCGUUAUGUAAAGCUCUAUCAGCAGGGAAGAAAAUGACGGUACCUGAGUAAGAAGCCCCGGCUAACUACGUGCCAGCAGCCGCGGUAAUACGUAGGGGGCAAGCGUUAUCCGGAUUUACUGGGUGUAAAGGGAGCGUAGACGGCAGUGCAAGUCUGGAGUGAAAGGCGGGGGCUCAACCCCCGGACUGCUUUGGAAACUGUGUAACUGGAGUACAGGAGGGGCAGGCGGAAUUCCUGGUGUAGCGGUGAAAUGCGUAGAUAUCAGGAGGAACACCGGCGGCGAAGGCGGCCUGCUGGACUGAAACUGACGUUGAGGCUCGAAAGCGUGGGGAGCAAACAGGAUUAGAUACCCUUGUAGUC